CCUAGAAAAGCCGCGUACGGAGCCCCUUUGGUGAUCGUACUGCAAACCGACUCAGGUGGACGGGGUGAAUAUCCCAAGGCGCGUGAGAGAACCCUGGUUAAGGAACUCUGCAAAUUGACACCGUAACUUCGGGAGAAGGUGUGCCGCUGGCGGUUAGUGACUUCGCGUCACGAAGCUGUCGGUGGUCGCAGUGAAAUGGCGGUUGUGACUGUUUACUAAAAACACAGGACUCUGCGAAGUCGUAAGACGACGUAUAGGGUCUGAUGCCUGCCCGGUGCUGGAAGGUUAAGGGGAUAUGUCAGCGCAAGCGAAGCAUUGAACCGAAGCCCCAGUAAACGGCGGCCGUAACUAUAACGGUCCUAAGGUAGCGAAAUUCCUUGUCGGGUAAGUUCCGACCUGCACGAAGGGCAUAACAACAUCCGCACUGUCUCGACCAGGGACUCAGCGAAAUUACAUUGGGGGUGAAGAUGCCCUCUACCCGCGGAAAGACGGAAAGACCCCAUGAACCUUUACUGCAACUUGGCAGUGAUUUUCGGGUUGUUCUGCGUAGGAUAGGUGGGAGGCUUUGAAGCCGGGCUUCCGGGUUCGGCAGAGCCAACGUUGAAAUACCACCCUGAAUAAUCUGGAAAUCUAACCUGCGCCCAUGAUCUGGGCGAGGGACACUGCCUGGUGGGCAGUUUGACUGGGGCGGUCGCCUCCUAAAUUGUAACGGAGGCGUGCGACGGUUCCCUCAGGCUGAUUGGAAACCAGCCGUAGAGUGCAAACGCAUAAGGGAGCUUUACUGCGAGACUGACAAGUCGAACAGUUGCGAAAGCAGGUGUUAGUGAUCCGGUGGUACCACAUGGAAGGGCCAUCGCUCAUCGGAUAAAAGGUACUCUGGGGAUAACAGGCUGAUCGCGCCUGAGAGUUCACAUCGGCGGCGCGGUUUGGCACCUCGAUGUCGGCUCAUCGCAUCCUGGGGCUGGAGCAGGUCCCAAGGGUUUGGCGGUUCGCCAAUUAAAGCGGUACGCGAGCUGGGUUUAAAACGUCGUGAGACAGUUUGGUCCCUAUCUUCCGUGGGCGCAGGACACUUGAGAGGAGCUAUCCAUAGUACGAGAGGACCUGGAUGGACGAACCUCUGGUGCUCCGGUUGUCACGCCAGUGGCAUAGCCGGGUAGCCAUGUUCGGAACAGAUAACCGCUGAAGGCAUAUAAGCGGGAAGCUGGCCUCAAGACUAGGUGUCCCUGACGCAAGUCACUAAAGGCCCCUCGAAGACUACGAGGUUGAUAGGCUCGGUGUGGAAGCGCUGCGAGGCGUGGAGCUAACGAGUACUAAUAGGCCGUGCGACUUGACCGA
rnacentral:rRNA from 1 species